rnacentral:misc_RNA from 1 species
GAUGAAGAACGUAGCGAAAUGCGAUAAGUAAUGUGAAUUGCAGAAUUCAGUGAAUCAUCCAAUCUUUGAACGCACAUUGCGCCCGCCGGUAUUCCGGCGGGCAUGCCUGUUCGAGCGUCAUUUCAACCAUCAAGCCCUGGGCUUGUGUUGGGGACCUGCGGCUGCCGCAGGCCCUGAAAUGCAGUGGCGGGCUCGCAAGACACACCGAGCGUAGUAGCUUACAACCUCGCUUUGGGAGUGCUGCGGGUGCUGGCCGUAAAGCGACCUUUGCGUCUUUAGCACUAGGUUGACCUCGGAUCAGGUAGGAGGACCCGCUGAACUUAAGCAUAUCAAUAAGCGGAGGA